UACGGAGGUGGCAAGCGUUGUUCGGAAUUACUGGGCGUAAAGCGCGCGCAGGCGGCCAUCCAAGUCAGGGGUGAAAGCCCGGAGCUCAACUCCGGAAUUGCCUUUGAAACUGUUUGGCUUGAGUACGGGAGAGGUGAGUGGAAUUCCCAGUGUAGAGGUGAAAUUCGUAGAUAUUGGGAAGAACACCGGUGGCGAAGGCGGCUCACUGGCCCGUUUCUGACGCUCAUGCGCGACAGCGUGGGGAUCAAAC
rnacentral:rRNA from 1 species